rnacentral:rRNA from 1 species
CCUACGGGUGGCUGCAGUGGGGAAUAUUGGACAAUGGGCGAAAGCCUGAUCCAGCCAUGCCGCGUGUGUGAAGAAGGCCUUCGGGUUGUAAAGCACUUUCAGUGGGGAAGAAAGCCUUGGGGCUAAUACCCUCGAGGAAGGACAUCACCCACAGAAGAAGCACCGGCUAACUCCGUGCCAGCAGCCGCGGUAAUACGGAGGGUGCGAGCGUUAAUCGGAAUUACUGGGCGUAAAGCGCGCGUAGGCGGUCUGAUAAGCCGGUUGUGAAAGCCCCGGGCUCAACCUGGGAACGGCAUCCGGAACUGUCAGGCUAGAGUGCAGGAGAGGAAGGUAGAAAUCCCGGUGUAGCGGUGAAAUGCGUAGAGAUCGGGAGGAAUACCAGUGGCGAAGGCGGCCUUCUGGACUGACACUGACGCUGAGGUGCGAAAGCGUGGGUAGCAAACAGGAUUAGAUACCCUAGUAGC